GGGCCCAUAGCUCAGUCUGGUAGAGCACUUGAUUUUUCGAAGCUUUUUAGGCUUGGAAGAGGUGCGGCUCUUAAACGCUUUCCAGAAGUAGGGUGACCAAGGUGUCGAGGGUUCGAAUCCCUCUGGGCUCG
rnacentral:tRNA from 2 species